UACGAAGGGUGCAAGCGUUACUCGGAAUUACUGGGCGUAAAGCGUGCGUAGGUGGUUUGUUAAGUCUGAUGUGAAAGCCCUGGGCUCAACCUGGGAAUUGCAUUGGAUACUGGCAGGCUAGAGUGCGGUAGAGGGUAGUGGAAUUCCCGGUGUAGCGGUGAAAUGCGUAGAGAUCGGGAGGAACACCAGUGGCGAAGGCGACUCCCUGGACCAGCACUGACACUGAGGCACGAAAGCGUGGGGAGCAAACAGG
rnacentral:rRNA from 1 species